AUGGCCUCUCUGUGGAGACCUGGCCCUCCCCCCACAGAAUCUAGGAUGGGGGCCCUGGCAUGACUGGCCUCCAGGCCCUCAGGGAACAUCUAGCCUGUCCCAUUUUACAGCUGGGACAUUGGGGCGGAGAGAUGGCCUGGGUGAUUCCAAGGUUGCACGGGCCUCCUAAGCCCCUGGGUUGUGCUUCCUGGGCUCAGCUGUGUGGCCAGCAGCCAUGGUGCACCUGAGGACAUUACAGACAGGACCUGGAGAACAGGCCAGCUGCUCAGAGCCAGGAGACAGAGGAAAACAAUGGGAGAACUGGGGAGUGGACACCUGCCCCCACUUUCUCAGAUAGUGCUCAGGAUACCACCCUGCUCUGUUCCCUGCCACUUCUCUCCUUACGGAUGAACUCAGGCCCAUGCGUCUGAUGGAAGUGAUGUGAUGUGACAUCUGAGGCUGGGCCAGAAAAGGCCGCACUGAGCAUGCCCAGCUCCUGCACAGCCUCUGCCACUUCUCUGGGGAAUUUCCUCUUUGGAACCCAGCACCAGGGUGUGAGGAAGCCCAAACCAGGCAGGCCACGCAGACAGCCCUGCCCAGGUCCCAGAAGCCCGGGGCGUGGAGGAAUUUUUCACUGAUUACCAGCCCCAGCAGAUCCCACAGGCCAAGCCACAUGACAAGCGGUCCACUUAGCCUGUGGGAGAGAGGAAUAAAGUGAUGU